UACGUAGGGACCGAGCGUUGUCCGGAAUCAUUGGGCGUAAAGAGCGUGUAGGCGGCUUGUUAAGUCUUGCGUGAAAUCUCGGGGCUCAACCCCGAGCGGUCGUGAGAAACUGGCAGGCUAGAGUGCGGGAGAGGAGAGGUGGAAAUUCCUGGUGUAGCGGUGAAAUGCGCAGAUAUCAGGAAGAACACCCGUGGCGAAGGCGGCGAUCUGGGUCGAUACUGACGCUGAGGAGCGAAAGCGUGGGGAGCGAACAGG
rnacentral:rRNA from 1 species